UAAGUUAUCCUGGAGCGGUGAGUAAAGCAAAUGUAGGAAUAAGUAACGAUAAGGAGGGUUAGAUUCCCUCCCGCUGUAAGACCAAGGUUUCCCGGGCAAUGCCAAUCAGCCCGGGGUCAGUCGGGUCCUAAGUCUAAGCCGAACGGCGAUGGCGAUGGCAGAGACGGUUAAUAUUCCGUCACUGCCGCAUGGGGCGACGUGGAGACGGAGCAGUGAAACCACCGCGGGGCGACGGAAGUCCCCGUUGAAGAGUGUAGGUGUUGAGGAUGGCAGGCAAAUCCACCGUCCGAGCUGAACUUGAUAGUAUGGAGUCUUCUUCGGAAGAAUCCAAUAGUGUGGGUAAUCAUACUCCCGAGAAAAUCCGCUAAGCUUAACCCAUGCGGCACCCGUACCGCAAACGGACACACGUGGUCGGGUAGAACAUACUAAGGCGUUGAG
rnacentral:rRNA from 1 species